CCCUUAGAUGUUCUGGGCCGCACGCGCGCUACACUGACGAUGGCAAAGAGUUUUUCCUUCGCCGAAAGGUGUGGGUAAUCUUUUGAAACAUCGUCGUGCUGGGGAUAGAUCAUUGCAAUUUUUGAUCUUGAACGAGGAAUUCCUAGUAAGCGCGAGUCAUCAGCUCGCGUUGAUUACGUCCCUGCCCUUUGUACACACCGCCCGUCGCUACUACCGAUUGAAUGGUUUAGUGAGGACUCCUGAUUGGCGCCGCCGCCCCGGCAACGGAGCAGCGGACUGCCGAAAAGUUGUUCAAACUUGAUCAUUUAGAGGAAGUAAAAGUCGUAACA
rnacentral:rRNA from 1 species